rnacentral:rRNA from 1 species
CACUCUAGAGAGACUGCCAGGGAUAACCUGGAGGAAGGUGGGGAUGACGUCAAAUCAUCAUGCCCCUUAUGCUUAGGGCUACACACGUGCUACAAUGGGUAGUACAGAGGGUUGCCAAGCCGUAAGGCGGAGCUAAUCCCUUAAAGCUACUCUCAGUUCGGAUUGUAGGCUGAAACUCGCCUACAUGAAGCUGGAGUUACUAGUAAUCGCAGAUCAGAAUGCUGCGGUGAAUGCGUUCCCGGGUCUUGUACACACCGCCCGUCACACCACGGGCGUUGGAGACGCCCGAAGCCGAUUAUCUAACCUUUUGGAAGAAGUCGUCGAAGGUGGAAUUAAUAACUGGGGUGAAGUCGUAACAAGGUAGCCGUAUCGGAAGGUGCGGCUGGAUCACCUCCUUUCUAAGGAGA